rnacentral:lncRNA from 1 species
UUUUUGGUUCAUAAUAGGGCUUUAGUAGGUGGAGUUACGAAGAAAGGUAGGCUGAGGGAAGGGGCAAUAGGGCUGUCAAUGGUUCAAGUUUAGUUGGGAUGGUGGUGUUGUUUUUCAAUUCCUAUUGUGGGGAUUAGGGUUUGUUUAGAGGUGGCGUGAAGGCAGGUUAAGGGAGGAAACAAGGGUGGUGCUCGAUCUUCAUUUGGCUGAAUGAUGUCCACCAUGAGGCAGUG